UACGUAGGGUGCGAGCGUUAAUCGGAAUUACUGGGCGUAAAGCGUGCGCAGGCGGUUUUGUAAGCCAGAUGUGAAAUCCCCGGGCUUAACCUGGGAAUGGCAUUUGGGACUGCAAGGCUGGAGUGUGGCAGAGGAGACUGGAAUUCCUGGUGUAGCGGCGAAAUGCGUAGAUAUCAGGAGGAAUACCGAUGGCGAAGGCAGGUCUCUGGGCUGACACUGACGCUCAUGCACGAAAGCGUGGGGAGCAAACAGG
rnacentral:rRNA from 1 species